UGAAGAAGUGGCAUUAGAAGUUGUUUAAAAAUUUUGGCUCUCAGAAGAAAUUUCAUUUGUGGUACUGUUGAUAUUUGGCUCUGUUGACCACUGAUCUAGACCUGAGGUUCAGUCUGCUGUGUUUGAAAUAAAGAGUAUUUCCCUCAGUAUUUCCCAUCUUUUGGCUCCUUGCUGUCUCCCUCAAGGCCACUGUAGAGUUGGCAAGGGCCUGCGACUUCGCUGGGUUUCCCUGGAGGUCACCAGGUGAGGCCUUCUAUUCCCCCCGUCCUUUCCCCUUCUGCAUAUCACCCAACUAGAAUGUCUCAUGUCGCAGGGAUUUCUGCAAUGUGGCUUUGCUCCUUGGAAUCUUAGGUUGGUUGAAGAUGAUUUGCGAAGCCUCAGAAUGGUAGUUUGCUUUUGUCCUUUUGUGUCCAUUUCCUUCCAGCAGGUUACCACUUGCAUUAAGAACUAUUUUCAUUUUUAUUCAGCGGAGAACAGGGCCACCCUCCCUUUGAAAAGGACUCGGUGGAGGAAUUAGCAGGUGACUGCCAAACCUGUGAAAGAAUGGGGACCAUAAACUCGAUUGGUGAUUUCCCUCACACGAUUUAUUUAGGAUCGUAGAAUUUUAGAGUUAGAUGAGAUUUUAGUUCAAUCUCAUUUUACUGAUGAGGUUAGAUGGUUCAUUUCUGAUAAAAGCUAAUUAAUAAUGGUAAAGUUUCUGACUCUGCCACUUACUAUUUCUGCAGUGUCUUAAAUGAAUGUGCUGUAUGUUUCUUCAAAAAUUGAGUUCUCUUUGAUGUCUUCAGAAAGAUACUUGAUACCACCACAAAGCAUUAUUUCAGCACUGGUAGGAGCACAGCACUGGCAGGAGCACAGCCAGCAGCCUUAUAAACCAGGUUUUUGUUAAACGGACAUUGCCGUCAUUAUCUUAGGUUUGCUUCAUGCUCAUUUUGUUCCUAGUUCUUAUUGAGAAUCAAUCACAUCAUUCUUUAAAGGACAAAUAACCCUUGCUAAAUACCUUGAGAUUUUUUUUCUUUAAUAAAAAAAAGCAUCCCAAAACGAAAAAGCUUAUUUUAUCAUCUUUUGCAACUUAUAAAAACUGCUUUUUCAUAGCAUUCUAAUAUUUGUGUCCCUGAAUGGUUUACAAAAAGAAAAUAAACAAUUUGUGAUCUGGCCAGUUGUACGGUAAAACCACAGAAAACUGAGGGAGCAGUCGUUGCCAGUAAUGUUCGUGUGUGUGCCAUUAAACCACCUCCAGGAGUGGGGGAGCAUUCACUUCUUAAUUUUGAAAUUGUAUUUGGAAUGUUGCUGUGUACUAAGAACCUGACCUAAAUAAAAUUCCACAAAGUAA